GACGAACGCUGGCGGCGUGCUUAACACAUGCAAGUCGAACGGUAAGGCUCCAGCUUGCUGGGGUACACGAGUGGCGAACGGGUGAGUAACACGUGGGUGACCUGCCCUGCACUUCGGGAUAAGCCUGGGAAACUGGGUCUAAUACCGGAUAGGACCGCACCGUGAGGGUGUGGUGGAAAGUUUUUUCGGUGUGGGAUGGGCCCGCGGCCUAUCAGCUUGUUGGUGGGGUAAUGGCCUACCAAGGCGGCGACGGGUAGCCGGCCUGAGAGGGUGGACGGCCACAUUGGGACUGAGACACGGCCCAGACUCCUACGGGAGGCAGCAGUGGGGAAUAUUGCACAAUGGGCGGAAGCCUGAUGCAGCGACGCCGCGUGGGGGAUGACGGCCUUCGGGUUGUAAACUCCUUUCACCAUCGACGAAGGGUUUCUGACGGUAGAUGGAGAAGAAGCACCGGCUAACUACGUGCCAGCAGCCGCGGUAAUACGUAGGGUGCGAGCGUUGUCCGGAAUUACUGGGCGUAAAGAGCUCGUAGGUGGUUUGUCGCGUCGUCUGUGAAAUUCCGGGGCUUAACUCCGGGCGUGCAGGCGAUACGGGCAUAACUUGAGUACUGUAGGGGAGACUGGAAUUCCUGGUGUAGCGGUGAAAUGCGCAGAUAUCAGGAGGAACACCGGUGGCGAAGGCGGGUCUCUGGGCAGUAACUGACGCUGAGGAGCGAAAGCAUGGGGAGCGAACAGGAUUAGAUACCCUGGUAGUCCAUGCCGUAAACGGUGGGCGCUAGGUGUGGGUUUCCUUCCACGGGAUCCGUGCUGUAGCUAACGCAUUAAGCGCCCCGCCUGGGGAGUACGGCCGCAAGGCUAAAACUCAAAGGAAUUGACGGGGGCCCGCACAAGCGGCGGAGCAUGUGGAUUAAUUCGAUGCAACGCGAAGAACCUUACCUGGGCUUGACAUAUACAGGAUCGCGCCAGAGAUGGUGUUUCCCUUGUGGCUUGUAUACAGGUGGUGCAUGGUUGUCGUCAGCUCGUGUCGUGAGAUGUUGGGUUAAGUCCCGCAACGAGCGCAACCCUUGUCUUAUGUUGCCAGCACGUUGUGGUGGGGACUCGUAAGAAACUGCCGGGGUUAACUCGGAGGAAGGUGGGGAUGACGUCAAAUCAUCAUGCCCCUUAUGUCCAGGGCUUCACACAUGCUACAAUGGUCGGUACAGUGGGUUGCCAGUCCGUGAGGGCGAGCUAAUCCCGCAAAGCCGGUCUCAGUUCGGAUCGGGGUCUGCAACUCGACCCCGUGAAGUCGGAGUCGCUAGUAAUCGCAGAUCAGCAACGCUGCGGUGAAUACGUUCCCGGGCCU
rnacentral:rRNA from 1 species